rnacentral:misc_RNA from 1 species
UCCUCCCUCAAACCUCGCGUUUGGUGUUGGGCCGGGUUGGUCCCUCAGCGACCAACUGGCCUCAAAGACAAUGACGGCGUCCGUGGGACCCUCGGUGCAACGAGCUUCUUCGUGAGCACGCGCCGAGUUGCAAGGACCCUCCGGGCCGGUCUGACCUGUCACUACUUCUCA